rnacentral:lncRNA from 1 species
GGUCUUUGACCUUUGACACUUGCCAAAGCAUCGAGUGCGAUUGGAGGGAGACGGGGUGUCACCAUGUUGCCCAAGCUGGUCUCAAACUCCUGGACUCAAGCAACCUGCACAUCUCGGCCUCGCAAAGUGCUGGGAUUACGGGCAUGAACCACCGUGCCCCACAGGAAUGUAUAUUACUAACAAAUUCCCUGGUGAUGCUAGUGUUGCUGAUCUGGAGACCACACUUUGAGAACAAAGGACUUAGAACAUCCCAGGUUCAAGGACUGCUGUCCUUAUAAGAAGAGGAAAUUUGGACACAGACGUGCACAGAGGGAAG